ensembl:miRNA microRNA 743b
UACAGUGCUGUGUUCAGACUGGUGUCCAUCAUGUGAAAUAUUUGUGAAAGACAUCAUGCUGAAUAGAGUAAGGACCA